AUUUAUCUUUCUUUACAUUUUGUAUAAUUUUCUUACGACUUUAUAUGUAACACCCCCUACCCGUAUUCGUCACCGGAAUAGGGUACGAGGCAUUGCCGAAGUUUACCUAAUUAAUUUUUCCCGUUAUUAUAAGUUAAUUACUAUUCAUUUACUAAAACAUGUCAUGACGUCCUUUAGAUAGGUCUCCAAAGCCCAAAACAUACUUCGGGACCAAACCGAGAUUUAAUCAAAACCAUAGGUAAUUUUUUGCAAAGUC
rnacentral:lncRNA from 1 species